GCAUAUCAAUAAGCGGAGGAAAAGAAACCAACAGGGAUUGCCCCAGUAACGGCGAGUGAAGCGGCAACAGCUCAAAUUUGAAAUCUGGCCCCUCGGGCCCGAGUUGUAAUUUGUAGAGGAUGCUUUUGGCAAGGUGCCGCCCGAGUUCCCUGGAACGGGACGCCGCAGAGGGUGAGAGCCCCGUCUGGCUGGCCACCGAGCCUCUGUAAAGCUCCUUCGACGAGUCGAGUAGUUUGGGAAUGCUGCUCAAAAUGGGAGGUAUAUGUCUUCUAAAGCUAAAUAUUGGCCAGAGACCGAUAGCGCACAAGUAGAGUGAUCGAAAGAUGAAAAGCACUUUGAAAAGAGGGUUAAACAGUACGUGAAAUUGUUGAAAGGGAAGCGCUCAUGACCAGACUUGGGCUUGGCGAAUCAUCCGGCGUUCUCGCCGGUGCACUUCGCCUCGCCCAGGCCAGCAUCAGUUCGCGCCGGGGGACAAAAGCUUCGGGAAUGUGGCUCCUCCGGGAGUGUUAUAGCCCGUUGCAUAAUACCCUGGGGCGGACUGAGGUUCGCGCAUCUGCAAGGAUGCUGGCGUAAUGGUCAUCAGCGACCCGUCUUGAAACACGGACCAAGGAGUCGUCUUCGUAUGCGAGUGUUCGGGUGUCAAACCCCUACGCGUAAUGAAAGUGAACGCAGGUGAGAGCUUCGGCGCAUCAUCGACCGAUCCUGAUGUUCUCGGAUGGAUUUGAGUAAGAGCAUACGGGGCCGGACCCGAAAGAAGGUGAACUAUGCCUGUAUAGGGUGAAGCCAGAGGAAACUCUGGUGGAGGCUCGCAGCGGUUCUGACGUGCAAAUCGAUCGUCAAAUAUGGGCAUGGGGGGCGAAAGACUAAUCGAACCUUCUAGUAGCUGGUUUCCGCCGAAG
rnacentral:rRNA from 1 species